rnacentral:piRNA from 1 species
UAAAAAAUUAUAGCAAAGGAUC